rnacentral:sRNA from 1 species
GAGACGGCGGCGGCGCCCGUAGGAUGCAGGGAUCGCUCCCCCGGGGCCGCUGAGCCUGCGCCCAGUACCCCGAGCCCCGCGCCGAGCCGAGUCCGCGCCAAGCAGCAGCCGCCCACCCCGGGGCCGGGCCGGGGGACCAGCAGCUUCCCCACAGGCAACGUGAGGAGAGCCUGUGCCCAGAAGCAGGAUGAGAAGAUGGCAAACUUCCUAUUACCUCGGGGCACCAGCAGCUUCCGCAGGUUCACACGGGAGUCCCUGGCAGCCAUCGAGAAGCGCAUGGCGGAGAAGCAAGCCCGCGGCUCAACCACCUUGCAGGAGAGCCGAGAGGGGCUGCCCGAGGAAGAGGCUCCCCGGCCCCAGCUGGACCUGCAGGCCUCCAAAAAGCUGCCAGAUCUCUAUGGCAAUCCACCCCGAGAGCUCAUCGGAGAGCCCCUGGAGGACCUGGACCCCUUCUAUAGCAACCAAAAGACUUUCAUCGUACUGAAUAAAGGCAAGACCAUCUUCCGGUUCAGUGCCACCAACGCCUUGUAUGUCCUCAGUCCCUUCCACCCCAUCCGGAGAGCGGCUGUGAAGAUUCUGGUUCACUCGCUCUUCAACAUGCUCAUCAUGUGCACCAUCCUCACCAACUGCGUGUUCAUGGCCCAGCACGACCCUCCACCCUGGACCAAGUAUGUCGAGUACACCUUCACCGCCAUUUACACCUUUGAGUCUCUGGUCAAGAUUCUGGCUCGAGGCUUCUGCCUGCACGCGUUCACUUUCCUUCGGGACCCAUGGAACUGGCUGGACUUUAGUGUGAUUAUCAUGGCUGCUUCUGUCUUGGGAACUCUGUUUUUUCCAAUGAGUAUUCAGGCCACUUCCACCUCGUGACUUCAAGGACUUCUGAGCCAGGCACAAGCUGAUCAACAGAUCACAGAAGAUGUGAACCAAAACUAGGACCAGAAAUGCACUUGCUUCCUGUAUCACCUGACCUGAGCCUCCUGGAAAACAGGCUUCCCUCUUCACUCUGAUGUGUCCCCAGCCCCAGACCCCACAUGUGGUUUCAUGUCAUGGGUCCCAGUGGUGUGGCGAGAGUGGCAGAGUGGUUGCCUUCUAGCACCAGUUAUCCUUAGCACCAUCACCAAGAGAGCCACCGGGAAGCUUGCUGUGUGGACAUCCUUACGGCACUCAAGCCGAAGUCCUAUGUUAGGAGGGUUGAAAUCCAGAAGAAAACCUGAGGGAGGCCCUGGGCUAUCCACAGCACUGCCCCCACCCCCGUGGGAGGGGGCCAAGGGAGAGGGCUGGUCGGGGAGGGCAGGCGGCGGUUCUGCUUUGUAAUUCCCAAUAACUGUGGUUUGAUUCUGCAGGUAUGUAUCAGAAAAUAUAAAACUAGGCAAUUUGUCGGC